rnacentral:rRNA from 1 species
UACGUAGGGUGCGAGCGUUGUCCGGAGUUACUGGGCGUAAAGAGCUCGUAGGUGGUUUGUCGCGUUGUCCGUGAAAACUCACAACUCAAUUGUGGGCGUGCGGGCGAUACGGGCAGACUGGAGUACUGCAGGGGAGACUGGAAUUCCUGGUGUAGCGGUGGAAUGCGCAGAUAUCAGGAGGAACACCGGUGGCGAAGGCGGGUCUCUGGGACGGUACUGACGCUGAGACGCGAAAGCGUGGGGAGCGAACAGG